rnacentral:rRNA from 1 species
AACGCUGGCGGCAGGCUUAACACAUGCAAGUCGAGCGGGGAAAGGUAGCUUGCUACCUGACCUAGCGGCGGACGGGUGAGUAAUGCUUAGGAAUCUGCCUAUUAGUGGGGGACAACAUUCCGAAAGGAAUGCUAAUACCGCAUACGCCCUACGGGGGAAAGCAGGGGAUCUUCGGACCUUGCGCUAAUAGAUGAGCCUAAGUCAUAUUAGCUAGUUGGUGGGGUAAAGGCCUACCAAGGCGACUAUCUGUAGCGGGUCUGAAAGGAUGAUCCGCCACACUGGGACUGAGACACGGCCCACACUCCUACGGGAGGCAGCAGUGGGGAAUAUUGGACAAUGGGCGAAAGCCUGAUCCAGCCAUGCCGCGUGUGUGAAGAAGGUCUUUUGGUUGUAAAGCUCUUUAAGCGAGGAGGAGGCUACUCAUAUUAAUACUCUAGGAUAGUGGACGUUACUCGCAAAAUAAGCACCGGCUAUCUCUGUGCCAGCAGCCGCGGUAAUACAGAGGGUGCGAGCGUUAAUCGGAUUUACUGGGCGUAAAGCGUGCGUAGGCGGCUUUUUAAGUCGGAUGUGAAAUCCCUGAGCUUAACUUAGGAAUUGCAUUCGAUACUGGGAAGCUAGAGUAUG